rnacentral:ncRNA from 1 species
CGAAAAGCGUUGACAGGAAGCAGUAGGAAGCCUCUCUUUCCAAGAGAGCCGAUGGUUGGUGCGAAUCGGCGAAAGAUGCUGUCCGAAUCCAUCCUUGAGCGAAAUGCUGAACAUUCAAGUAGGCAUUUACGGGAAGACCGUUAUGAAACGAAGCGGAAAACGGCGUACGACACGUCCCGUUUUCAAUCAGGGUGGCAACGCGAGAGCUCUCGUCCCUUUA